rnacentral:rRNA from 1 species
GUGCCAGCAGCCGCGGUAAUACGUAAGAGGCAAGCGUUGUCCGGAAUCACUGGGCGUGAAGGGUGCGCAGGCGGUCUAGUAAGUCAAAAGUGAAAUCCAUCGGCUCAACCGGUGAACUGCUUUUGAGACUACUAGACUUGAGAAUAGGAGAAGAGAGUGGAAUUCCUGGUGUAGUGGUGAAAUACGUAGAUAUCAGGAAGAAUACCAAUGGCGAAAGCAGCUCUCUAGCCUAAUUCUGACGCUGAGGUACGAAAGCUAGGGUAUCAAACGGGAUUAGAAACCCCGGUAGUCC